rnacentral:lncRNA from 1 species
AUCAUUAAAAUCUUAUUAUUUUUAAAAACAAAAAAUAUUAUAUUGAGAGUAUUUUUAUUUUUUAUUAAACUUUAUAAAAAUACAUCAAUUUAAUAGAAUUUGAACCCAAAACAUCAUAAUCCUUGUACAGACCCAAUUUCUGCCCGGCCCACUAACAAAAAGAACCCAAAACCCACAAACCCAAUAACCCACCUAAACACUAACCCAUACCAGCAGACCCAAUUACAAGGCCCAGUGGCCCAAAAUUUUAAAAUCAUUUCAGAAACCCUAAUCCCCCUAACCCUAGCCGCCUCUUCUGAUCUUUCUGCUACUACUGCCGCCAUCACCUACCCUCUGCCACCGCCACUGUUUCGCCCACUUGCACCACCUGCUCCACCUGCAAAACAAAGGAGAACACGCAAGCAAAGAAGGACAAAACAGUAGAAACAAUAAUAAAAUAAAUUGUGUAAAAAUGGCUAUAUAAAGGCCAUUCAAACGAAUUGUAAGGGGUUCGGCCCCUCUUUCACUAUUUCAAGAAAUAAAAAGGGCAAAGAAAACGGAUUCAAGAAAUUUUUCUUUUGGUAUAAACUCUAUUUUCUUUUAUUUAUAUUUUUCUCUUUAUUUUUCUUCCAUCCGAAACUGUUUGAUUCUUUAUUCUUAUUUUUAUUUUUCUUUUAUUUUUAAAAACAUAUAUGGCCAAGUUCGUCGGAUUCUGGGCAGUGCUGGAGAGGGGGAGAGGAUAUUUUUGAGAAGAAGAGUUUUUUUUUUUUUAAUGAAAGCUGAAAAUGAUUUUUUUUGGGGGAAACCUUGACUUUUAUAGGCCCCCCAAAACGACGUCGUUUUGGGCAAGCCUCUUAGGUACCAAAACGGCGCCGUUUUAAGGCCGGCCCGAAAACCGACCCGACCCGCCUGAAGGAUCCGCGUGUUUUCGACGGAAGGGAUAAUUGCGUUUUCAG